rnacentral:rRNA from 1 species
UACAGAGGUCUCAAGCGUUGUUCGGAUUCAUUGGGCGUAAAGGGCGCGUAGGCGGCCGAGCAAGGUCGCGGUGAAAGCCCGGGGCUCAACCCCGGGUCGGCCGUGGCAACUACUCGGCUCGAGCACUGUAGGGGCGGGUGGAAUUCCGGGUGUAGCGGUGGAAUGCGUAGAGAUCCGGAAGAACACCAGUGGCGAAGGCGACUCACUGGCCCGAUACUGACGCUGAGGCGCGAAAGCGUGGGGAGCAAACAGG